UGCUAAUACCGAAUGUUGUCAGAUUCCCGCAUGGGAGUUUGAUUAAAGAUGGCCUCUACUUGUAAGCYAUCGCUUUGSAUGGGUCUGCGUCUGAUUAGCUAGUUGGUGGGGUAACGGCCUACCAAGGCAACGAUCAGUAGCCGGUCUGAGAGGAUGAACGGCCACAUUGGAACUGAGACACGGUCCAGACUCCUACGGAGGCAGCAGUGGGGAAUCUUCCGCAAUGGGCGAAAGCCUGACGGAGCAACGCCGCGUGAGUGAAGAAGGGUUUCGGCUCGUAAAGCUCUGUUGACGGGGACGAACGUGCGAGAUGCGAAUAGUUUCUUGCAAUGACGGUACCCGUCGAGGAAGCCACGGCUAACUACGUGCCAGCAGCCGCGGUAAUACGUAGGUGGCGAGCGUUGUCCAGAAUUAUUGGGCGUAAAGGGAGCGCAGGCGGGAAGGCAAGUCAGUCUUAAAAGUGCGGGGCUCAACCCCGUGAUGGGAUUGAAACUGUCUUUCUUGAGUGCAGGA
rnacentral:rRNA from 1 species